UACAGAGGUCUCAAGCGUUGUUCGGAUUCAUUGGGCGUAAAGGGUGCGUAGGUGGCGGGGUAAGUCAGGUGUGAAAUCUCGGGGCUCAACCCCGAAACUGCACUUGAUACUGCCUUGCUCGAGUACUGGAGAGGAGAUUGGAAUUUACGGUGUAGCAGUGAAAUGCGUAGAUAUCGUAAGGAAGACCAGUGGCGAAGGCGAAUCUCUGGACAGUUACUGACGACUGAGGCACGAAGGCC
rnacentral:rRNA from 1 species